CUUGGUUCAGAGUUGGGCAUUGUUGCGGUUGGGGAGUGAACCCAACUGUGUUGGCUCAUGUAUCGGUUCCUUGGUCAACAUUUAGGAGGAUAUGCUAGGGGGAGGAUGCGGCCAGUCUAGUAUGGUAGGCCGUCUCAGUCGGGGCCUAUUGUUUGCCCUGGGGUUGCGAGAUGUCGUGUAUGCGGUCACAUUCAACUGAGGCCCAAGUGUGCCUGUUCAUCAUGCA